CAGGCAUAGGCAAACUCGGCCCUCCAGAUGUUUUGGGACUAGCAGGACCAGUCUGUCAGGGAUGAUGGGAGUUGUAGUCCCAAAACAUCUGGAGGGCUGAGUUUGCCUAUGCCUG